UGGGGAAUUUUGGACAAUGGGCGCAAGCCUGAUCCAGCCAUGCCGCGUGCAGGAUGAAGGCCUUCGGGUUGUAAACUGCUUUUGUACGGAACGAAAAGACUCCUUCUAAUAAAGGGUGUCCAUGACGGUACCGUAAGAAUAAGCACCGGUUAACUACGUGCCAGCAGCCGCGGUAAUACGUAGGGUGCGAGCGUUAAUCGGUAUUACUGGGCGUAAAGCGUGCGCAGGCGGUUAUAUAAGACAGAAGUGAAAUCCCCGGGCUCAACCUGGGAACUGCAUUUGGGACCGUGUAGCUAGAGUACGGCAGAGGGGGAUGGAAUUCCGGGUGUAGCAGUGAAAUGCGUAGAUAUGCCGAGGAACACCGAUGGCGAAGGCGAUCCCCGGGGCCUGUAGUGACGCUCAGGCACGAAAGCGUGGGGAGCGAACA
rnacentral:rRNA from 1 species